rnacentral:other from 2 species
AUGCCUCUGCCGUGUUCGGACGGGUAUAGUUUGCCGACCCUACAAGCACUGUACCAGGGAGCCACGACUUCCUCGGCCGCGCGUAUAGCCGCCUUAGUAGCGGAUCACGCAACCCGGGGGCGGGGCACCCACCUGGCUAGUCCGGGUCAGUGUAAACACACCCCGUCCGUCCGGUAGGGGUUUU